rnacentral:rRNA from 2 species
UCAAACUUGAGAGUUUGAUCCUGGCUCAGAACGAACGCUGGCGGCAUGCCUAACACAUGCAAGUCGAACGAGACCUUCGGGUCUAGUGGCGCACGGGUGC